rnacentral:rRNA from 1 species
UACGUAGGGUGCAAGCGUUAAUCGGAAUUACUGGGCGUAAAGCGUGCGCAGGCGGCUUUGCAAGACAGAUGUGAAAGCCCCGGGCUUAACCUGGGAAUGGCAUUGGAAACUGGCUCGCUGGAGUGUGGCAGAGGGGGGUGGAAUUCCGCGUGUAGCAGUGAAAUGCGUAGAGAUGCGGAGGAACACCGAUGGCGAAGGCAGCCCCCUGGGCUAACACUGACGCUCAGGCACGAAAGCGUGGGGAGCAAACAGG